rnacentral:lncRNA from 1 species
CGAGCCAGCAAAGAAGCAAAGCCCAAAAUGGCCGCAGUCGGACACCCCGGAAGCUGCCGGACUACACCGAGGGCCGAGGGCGUCUACGCUUACCGCCCAGCGCCACCUAACGUCAUUUGCAGAACCCCACCCCCAUCCCCCGAGAGGCGGGCUUGCCUCACCCUCGCGCGUGGCCGCUGAUUGGCUGCGACUGUGGUCCCUGUCGGCUUCCUUACUCUGGAUAGAGCGGGCUCACACGCGGAAAAUUGCAUCAGCCGGACCCAGGAUGUACGCAGGCGCAAUCAAUUGGUUCUGGUCUCCUAGGAGACCGCACGCCCCACCCUCUGAGUUAGAGGGAAGGGCUCAGGGAGGUGAAGGCCUUUCUACAGGACCUGGGAAUUCUCCUGAGCCCCUUUUUAUGGAUUCGAUACGUGAGGCAGAGUAUCACUUAUCGGUCAUCUCCUAUUGUUAAGUAAAUGGGCUGUCUACAGGGCACUAGCUGUCCUGGAACUGACUGUGUAAACCAGGCUGACCUUGAAAACAGAGACCCGCCUGCCUCUACCUAUCCUUUAAUCUCUGCAGAGGUUAAAGGCAUGUGACACCACACCUGAUGAUCAUGUUUAAAAUGGAGUCAUCAGGAUGAGCCCUGAUCCAAUUAAUUCCAAUUAAUAGAAUACUUAUUGAAGAGGGGACCCUGGACAGAGACGUGUGUAUGCACGCAGCGCACACAGAGAGAGUGCUGUGAGAACAUGAAGCCAAAUGUUAGAGUCAUGCAUCCAACAGCAAAUAACGGGACACUGGAAGAGAAGCCUG